rnacentral:tRNA from 1 species
UGUCAGCGUGCCCGAGCGGUCCAAGGGGUCAGUCUCAAGAUCUGAUGGCAUAGCCUCGUGGGUUCGAAUCCCACCGCUGACA